rnacentral:rRNA from 1 species
GAUGAACGCUAGCUACAGGCUUAACACAUGCAAGUCGAGGGGCAGCAUGGUCUUAGCUUGCUAAGGCCGAUGGCGACCGGCGCACGGGUGAGUAACACGUAUCCAACCUGCCGUCUACUCUUGGACAGCCUUCUGAAAGGAAGAUUAAUACAAGAUGGCAUCAUGAGUCCACAUGUUCACAUGAUUAAAGGUAUUCCGGUAGACGAUGGGGAUGCGUUCCAUUAGAUAGUAGGCGGGGUAACGGCCCACCUAGUCUUCGAUGGAUAGGGGUUCUGAGAGGAAGGUCCCCCACAUUGGAACUGAGACACGGUCCAAACUCCUACGGGAGGCAGCAGUGAGGAAUAUUGGUCAAUGGGCGAGAGCCUGAACCAGCCAAGUAGCGUGAAGGAUGACUGCCCUAUGGGUUGUAAACUUCUUUUAUAAAGGAAUAAAGUCGGGUAUGCAUACCCGUUUGCAUGUACUUUAUGAAUAAGGAUCGGCUAACUCCGUGCCAGCAGCCGCGGUAAUACGGAGGAUCCGAGCGUUAUCCGGAUUUAUUGGGUUUAAAGGGAGCGUAGAUGGAUGUUUAAGUCAGUUGUGAAAGUUUGCGGCUCAACCGUAAAAUUGCAGUUGAUACUGGAUAUCUUGAGUGCAGUUGAGGCAGGCGGAAUUCGUGGUGUAGCGGUGAAAUGCUUAGAUAUCACGAAGAACUCCGAUUGCGAAGGCAGCCUGCUAAGCUGCAACUGACAUUGAGGCUCGAAAGUGUGGGUAUCAAACAGGAUUAGAUACCCUGGUAGUCCACACGGUAAACGAUGAAUACUCGCUGUUUGCGAUAUACAGCAAGCGGCCAAGCGAAAGCGUUAAGUAUUCCACCUGGGGAGUACGCCGGCAACGGUGAAACUCAAAGGAAUUGACGGGGGCCCGCACAAGCGGAGGAACAUGUGGUUUAAUUCGAUGAUACGCGAGGAACCUUACCCGGGCUUAAAUUGCAGAUGAAUUACGGUGAAAGCCGUAAGCCGCAAGGCAUCUGUGAAGGUGCUGCAUGGUUGUCGUCAGCUCGUGCCGUGAGGUGUCGGCUUAAGUGCCAUAACGAGCGCAACCCUUGUUGUCAGUUACUAACAGGUCAUGCUGAGGACUCUGACAAGACUGCCAUCGUAAGAUGUGAGGAAGGUGGGGAUGACGUCAAAUCAGCACGGCCCUUACGUCCGGGGCUACACACGUGUUACAAUGGGGGGUACAGAGGGCCGCUACCACGCGAGUGGAUGCCAAUCCCAAAAACCUCUCUCAGUUCGGACUGGAGUCUGCAACCCGACUCCACGAAGCUGGAUUCGCUAGUAAUCGCGCAUCAGCCACGGCGCGGUGAAUACGUUCCCGGGCCUUGUACACACCGCCCGUCAAGCCAUGGGAGCCGGGGGUACCUGAAGUGCGUAACCGCGAGGAGCGCCCUAGGGUAAAACUGGUGACUGGGGC